rnacentral:tRNA from 1 species
UCCCUGGUGGUUCAGACGGUAAAGCAUCUGACUACAAUUCAGGAGACCUGGGUUCGAUCCCUGGGUCGGGAA